GGCGGCUCGGCUCAGUGGUUAGAGCUUGGGUCUCGUAACCGAAAGGUGGCGGGAACGAAUCCCGCUAGAGGCUA
rnacentral:tRNA from 1 species